AAAUCAACCGAGAUCCCCUUAGUAGCGGCGAGCGAACGGGGGCUAGCCCUUAAGCUAGUCAAGAGUUAGUGGAAUCAUCUGGAAAGUUGAGCGAUACAGGGUGAUAGCCCCGUACACGAAAAAUCUUGAUUAGUGAAAACGAGUAGGACGGGACACGAGACAUCCUGUUUGAAUAUGGGGGGACCAUCCUCCAAGGCUAAAUACUCCUGACUGACCGAUAGUGAACCAGUACCGUGAGGGAAAGGCGAAAAGAACCCCUGUUAGGGGAGUGAAAUAGAACCUGAAACCGUGUACGUACAAGCAGUGGGAGCCCACUUGUUGGGUGACUGCGUACCUUUUGUAUAAUGGGUCAGCGACUUACAUUCUGUAGCGAGGUUAACCGAAUAGGGGAGCCGUAGGGAAACCGAGUCUUAACUGGGCGAAUAGUUGCAGGGUGUAGACCCGAAACCGGGCGAUCUACCCAUGAGCAGGUUGAAGGUUGGGUAACACUAACUGGAGGACCGAACCCACUAAUGUUGAAAAAUUAGGGGAUGACUUGUGGGUCGGAGUGAAAGGCUAAUCAAGCUCGGAGAUAUCUGGUUCUCCUCGAAAGCUAUUUAGGUAGCGCCUCGAGCGAAUACCAUUGGGGGUAGAGCACUGUUAAGGCUAGGGGGUCAUCCCGACUUACCAACCCUUUGCAAACUCCGAAUACCAAUGAGUACUACUCGGGAGACACACGACGGGUGCUAACGUCCGCCGUGAAAAGGGAAACAACCCAGACCACCAGCUAAGGUCCCAAAGUCAUGGUUAAGUGGAAAACGAUGUGGGAAGGCAUAGACAGCUAGGAGGUUGGCUUAGAAGCAGCCACCCUUUAAAGAAAGCGUAAUAGCUCACUAGUCGAGUCGGCCUGCGCGGAAGAUGUAACGGGGCUAAACCAUGCACCGAAGCUGUGGACUUGUGCUAAGCACAAGUGGUAGAGGAGCGUUCUGUAAGCCUGCGAAGGCAUCUCGUGAGGGGUGCUGGAGGUAUCAGAAGUGCGAAUGCUGACAUAAGUAACGAUAAGGGGAGUGAAAAACUUCCCCGCCGGAAGACCAAGGGUUCCUAUCCCAUGCUAAUCAGGGUAGGGUAAGUCGGCCCCUAAGGCGAGGGCGAAAGCCGUAGUCGAUGGGAAACGGGUUAAUAUUCCCGUACCGACAGUACUGCGAUGGGGGGACGGAGAAAGCUAGGCAAGCAUGGCGUUGGUUGUCCAUGUGAAAGUACGUAGGCAGGGGGAUUAGGCAAAUCCGGUUCCCUAAUGCUGAGAUACGAGACGAGCCACUACGGUGGUGAAGUUGCUGAUGCUAAGCUUCCAGGAAAAGCCUCUAAGCUUCAGGUACUUGUCGACCGUACUCGAAACCGACACAGGUGGUCAGGUAGAGAAUACCAAGGCGCUUGAGAGAACUCUGGUGAAGGAACUAGGCAAAAUAGUACCGUAACUUCGGGAGAAGGUACGCUCUUACGUGUGAAGGACUUGCUCCGUAAGCAUGUGAGAGUCGCAGUGACCAGCUGGCUGCAACUGUUUAUUAAAAACACAGCACUCUGCAAACUCGAGAGAGGACGUAUAGGGUGUGACACCUGCCCGGUGCCGGAAGGUUAAUUGAUGGGGUUAGCGCAAGCGAAGCUCUUGAUCGAAGCCCCGGUAAACGGCGGCCGUAACUAUAACGGUCCUAAGGUAGCGAAAUUCCUUGUCGGGUAAGUUCCGACCUGCACGAAUGGUGUAAUGAUGGCCAGGCUGUCUCCACCAGAGACUCAGUGAAAUUGAAAUUGCGGUGAAGAUGCCGUAUACCCGCGGCUAGACGGAAAGACCCCGUGAACCUUUACUAUAGCUUGGCACUGAACAUUGACCCUGUAUGUGUAGGAUAGGUGGGAGGCUUUGAAGUGGGAACGCCAGUUCUCAUGGAGCCGUCCUUGAAAUACCACCCUUGCAUGUUUGAUGUUCUAACGUGGGCCCCUAAUCGGGGUUGCGGACAGUGUCUGGUGGGUAGUUUGACUGGGGCGGUCUCCUCCUAAAGAGUAACGGAGGAGCACGAAGGUUGGCUAAGUACGGUCGGACAUCGUACGGUUAGUGCAAAGGCAGAAGCCAGCUUAACUGCGAGACAGACACGUCGAGCAGGUACGAAAGUAGGUCAUAGUGAUCCGGUGGUUCUGUAUGGAAGGGCCAUCGCUCAACGGAUAAAAGGUACUCUGGGGAUAACAGGCUGAUACCGCCCAAGAGUUCAUAUCGACGGC
rnacentral:rRNA from 1 species